rnacentral:tRNA from 1 species
GGAGGGGUGUCCGAGUGGUCGAAGGAGCUGGUCUUGAAAACCAGUGCGGGGCAACUCGCCGUGGGUUCGAAUCCCACCCCCUCCG